rnacentral:rRNA from 1 species
AUUGAACGCUGGCGGAAUGCUUUACACAUGCAAGUCGAACGGUAGAGGGGGCAACCCCUCGAGAGUGGCGAAUGGGUGAGUAAUGUAUCGGAACGUGCCCAGUCGUGGGGGAUAACGUAGUGAAAAUUACGCUAAUACCGCAUACGAUCUAUGGAUGAAAGCGGGGAUCGCAAGACCUCGCGCGAUUGGAGCGGCCGAUAUCGGAUUAGGUAGUUGGUGGGGUAAAGGCUCACCAAGCCAACGAUCUGUAGCUGGGCUGAGAGGACGACCAGCCACACUGGAACUGAGACACGUUCCAGACUCCUACGGGAGGCAGCAGUGGGGAAUUUUGGACAAUGGACGAAAGUCUGAUCCAGCGAUUCCGCGUGAAGGAUGAAGGCCCUCGGGUUGUAAACUGCUUUGGUACGGAACGAAAAGGUUUCCAUUAAUACUGGGAGCUCAUGACGGUACCGUAAGAAUAAGCACCGGCUAACUACGUGCCAGCCGCCGCCGUAA